AUGGAUCCGUUUUGCACGAAAAAUGAGAAGAGUUUUGUCCCUAUUGACAUGUGCUUGUCUAAGUGCUGCUUGCAACUUGCCCAGCUUGCACUCAAAAAUGCAGAUUCCUUCUCCCCUCCCUCUUCCUAUCCAAACAAUAGUGGCAAUUCAUUGUUACUCUGCCUGCGAAUGCAAAACACAGAAAUUAUUACCGUCUCUAGAUUGUCGUUGCUUCUACACCUUUCAACGACCUAUCCAACAGAAAGGAUCACAUUUUCUAGUACAACAACGCAUCAUGCCAGCAAUCCUUCCAUUGACUGGCCAACUAUGAACCGGAGAUGA
rnacentral:rRNA from 1 species